GUGCUCACUUCAGAAGCACAUAUACUAAAAUUGGAAUGAUAGAGAAUUAGCAUGGACCUUGUGCAAGGAUGACAUGCAAAUUUGUGAAGCAUUCCAUAUUUUU
ensembl:snRNA U6 U6 spliceosomal RNA